CCUUCCUGGCAGGGAGCCACGGGAGAAAUGGAGCAACAGGCUCGACGCCGGCGAAGAAGACGUCAGCAUUGUCCGUCUGGAUUAAUGGGGGUUCUUCAGCUGAACCUCACAUCAGGCUGAGUGGCUGAUCAGGGCUUGGAAGACACUCCGCUCUCACACAUCAGCUAACUUUCCUAUCACAAUUUGACCCCUGGAUGGAGAGCCCAGCCUGCUGACCAAGGUCAACGCCCUUUCCAACCGCCCUUCAUUAGCGAGUGGACAUCUUGCUGAGUCAGCGGGGACCUCUUCACCGUCCUGUUCAGGGUCACUAGGUCCCUGGAGAAUGUGGCCCAGGGCGGCUGGACGACAACAGGGGCCAUUGUCCUCGCCUGCUGCAGACUGAGUCGUCCCAGGCCCAUCUGGACAGGGCAAGGGGCACGACCUCAGUGCGCCCGAGGGGUCCCGCCGAGCCCCCGGGUGCAGCCAGGCUGGUGAGGUGGGAGCACAGAUGGCAUUGUCCUGAGAGAGGCGGGCCCUCUGGGAACAAGUUUUACGUCCAAGGGGGCAGCUCCAUCUCCUCCACCCUCCUCACCACCCCCAUGCCCCCACGAGGGAGUCUUCCACAGCUUCCCCAAGGUGAAGGAUAAGCGGAAAGAGAUUUGGACAGAGACACAGGGACACGGAGGCACACGGGGAGGAGGCCAUGUGACCACAGAGACAGGUUGGAGGAUGCAUCUAUGAGCCAGGGAACACCACGGGUUGCCAGCAGCCACCAGUGGCUGGAAGAGACAAGGACAGACUUUGCCCAGAAAAUGACUAUGAACA
rnacentral:lncRNA from 13 species